rnacentral:rRNA from 1 species
AUUGAACGCUGGCGGCAGGCCUAACACAUGCAAGUCGAACGGUAACAUUUCUAGCUUGCUAGAAGAUGACGGGUGGUGGACGGGUGAGUAAUGCUUGGGAACUUGCCUUUGCGAGGGGGAUAACAGUUGGAAACGACUGCUAAUACCGCAUAAUGUCUUCGGACCAAACGGGGCUUCGGCUCCGGCGCAAAGAGAGGCCCAAGUGAGAUUAGCUAGUUGGUAAGGUAACGGCUUACCAAGGCGACGAUCUCUAGCUGUUCUGAGAGGAAGAUCAGCCACACUGGGACUGAGACACGGCCCAG